UACGGGGGGAGCAAGCGUUGUUCGGAUUUACUGGGCGUAAAGGGCGCGUAGGCGGCCACCGCAAGUCAGUUGUGAAAUCUCUGGGCUUAACCCAGAAAGGUCAACUGAUACUGCGGGGCUAGAGUGCAGAAGGGGCAACUGGAAUUCUCGGUGUAGCGGUGAAAUGCGUAGAUAUCUGGAGGAACACCGGUGGCGAAGGCGGCAUCCUGGACCAACACUGACACUGAUGAGCGAAAGCCAGGGGAGCAAACGGG
rnacentral:rRNA from 1 species